AUUGAACGCUAGCGGGAUGCUUUACACAUGCAAGUCGAACGAGUGGCGGACGGGUGAGUAAUGUAUGGGGACUGCCCGAUAGAGGGGGAUAACUACUGGCAACGGUAGCUAAUACCGCAUACUAUCGGAUAACCCAUAUGGGAUUGGCUAGUAGGUGAGGUAAUGGCUCACCUAGGCGACGAUCCCUAGCUGGUCUGAGAGGAUGAUGCGCCACACGGGGACUGAGAAACGGCCCAGACUCCUACGGAGGAAGAAGUGGGGAAUAUUGCACAAUGGGCGCAAGCCUGAUGCAGCAAUGCCGCGGGUAUGAAGAAGGCCCUAGGGUUGUAAAGUACUUUCAGUCGGGAGGCGUUACCGACAGAAGAAGCACCGGCUAACUCCGUGCCAGCAGCCGCGGUAAUAC
rnacentral:rRNA from 1 species